rnacentral:rRNA from 1 species
AGUGAACGCUGGCGGUAGGCCUAACACAUGCCAGUCGAACGGCAGCACAGUAAGAGCUUGCUCUUACGGGUGGCGAGUGGCGGACGGGUGAGGAAUACAUCGGAAUCUACUUUUUCGUGGGGGAUAACGUAGGGAAACUUACGCUAAUACCGCAUACGACCUACGGGUGAAAGCAGGGGAUCUUCGGACCUUGCGCGAUUGAAUGAGCCGAUGUCGGAUUAGCUAGUUGGCGGGGUAAAGGCCCACCAAGGCGACGAUCCGUAGCUGGUCUGAGAGGAUGAUCAGCCACACUGGAACUGAGACACGGUCCAGACUCCUACGGGAGGCAGCAUUGGGGAAUAUUGGACAAUGGGCGCAAGCCUGAUCCAGCCAUACCGCGUGGGUGAAGAAGGCCUUCGGGUUGUAAAGCCCUUUUGUUGGGAAAGAAAAGCAGCAGGUUAAUACCCCGCUGUUCUGACGGUACCCAAAGAAUAAGCACCGGCUAACUUCGUG